CGUGGGUGCUAUACUGCAAGUCGAGCGAACAGACGAGGAGCUUGCUCCUCUGACGUUAGCGGCGGACGGGUGAGUAACACGUGGAUAACCUACCUAUAAGACUGGGAUAACUUCGGGAAACCGGAGCUAAUACCGGAUAAUAUAUUGAACCGCAUGGUUCAAUAGUGAAAGACGGUUUUGCUGUCACUUAUAGAUGGAUCCGCGCCGCAUUAGCUAGUUGGUAAGGUAACGGCUUACCAAGGCAACGAUGCGUAGCCGACCUGAGAGGGUGAUCGGCCACACUGGAACUGAGACACGGUCCAGACUCCUACGGGAGGCAGCAGUAGGGAAUCUUCCGCAAUGGGCGAAAGCCUGACGGAGCAACGCCGCGUGAGUGAUGAAGGUCUUCGGAUCGUAAAACUCUGUUAUUAGGGAAGAACAAAUGUGUAAGUAACUAUGCACGUCUUGACGGUACCUAAUCAGAAAGCCACGGCUAACUACGUGCCAGCAGCCGCGGUAAUACGUAGGUGGCAAGCGUUAUCCGGAAUUAUUGGGCGUAAAGCGCGCGUAGGCGGUUUUUUAAGUCUGAUGUGAAAGCCCACGGCUCAACCGUGGAGGGUCAUUGGAAACUGGAAAACUUGAGUGCAGAAGAGGAAAGUGGAAUUCCAUGUGUAGCGGUGAAAUGCGCAGAGAUAUGGAGGAACACCAGUGGCGAAGGCGACUUUCUGGUCUGUAACUGACGCUGAUGUGCGAAAGCGUGGGGAUCAAACAGGAUUAGAUACCCUGGUAGUCCACGCCGUAAACGAUGAGUGCUAAGUGUUAGGGGGG
rnacentral:rRNA from 1 species